rnacentral:rRNA from 1 species
CCUACGGGAGGCAGCAGUGGGGAAUAUUGGGCAAUGGCGGAAACUCUGACCCAGCAAAGCCGCGUGAAUGAUGAAGGUCUUCGGAUUGUAAAGUUCUUUUCUAAGGGAAGAAGAAAGUGACGGUACCUUAGGAUUAAGCCUCGGCUAACUACGAGCCAGCAGCCGCGGGAAUACGUAGGAGGCAAGCGUUAUCCGGAAUGACUGGGCGUAAAGGGUGCGUAGGUGGUUGGACAAGUUAGUAGCGCAACUCCGGAGCUCAACUUCGGAACUACUACUAACACUGUUGGACUUGAGUGCAGGAGAGGCAAGCGGAAUUCGUGGUGUAGCGGUGGAAUGCGUAGAUAUUAGGAGGAACACCAGUGGCGAAGGCGGAGUGCUAGCCUGUAACUGACACUGAGGCACGAAAGCGUGGGGAUCAAACAGGAUUAGAUACCCUAGUAGUC